AGCCUAUACGAGGUGUUGGCAUGGCUGUCGUCAGCUCGUGUCGUGAGAUGUCGGUUAAGUCCGCUAACGAGCGCAACCCUCGUCGUAUGUUAUAUGUGUCAUACGAGACUGCCGGUAAAAGCCGGAGGAAGGUGAGGAUGAUGUCAAGUCAGCAUGACCUUUAUAUCCAGGGCUACACACACGCUACAAUGGUCUGUACAAUGGGUAGCCAAGCCGCGAGGCGGAGCCAAUCCUGAGAGCAGGCCUCAGUUCAGAUUGCAGUCUGCAACUCGACUGCAUGAAGCCGGAGUUGCUAGUAACCGCAGGUCAGCAAUACUGCGGUGAAUACGUUCCCGGGUCUU
rnacentral:rRNA from 1 species